rnacentral:rRNA from 1 species
AACGAACGCUGGCGGCAUGCCUAAUACAUGCAAGUCGAACGAGACCUUCGGGUCUAGUGGCGCACGGGUGCGUAACGCGUGGGAAUCUGCCCUUGGGUUCGGAAUAACGUCGGGAAACUGACGCUAAUACCGGAUGAUGACGAAAGUCCAAAGAUUUAUCGCCCAAGGAUGAGCCCGCGUAGGAUUAGCUAGUUGGUGAGGUAAAGGCUCACCAAGGCUACGAUCCUUAGCUGGUCUGAGAGGAUGAUCAGCCACACUGGGACUGAGACACGGCCCAGACUCCUACGGGAGGCAGCAGUAGGGAAUAUUGGACAAUGGGGGCAACCCUGAUCCAGCAAUGCCGCGUGAGUGAUGAAGGCCUUAGGGUUGUAAAGCUCUUUUACCCGAGAUGAUAAUGACAGUAUCGGGAGAAUAAGCUCCGGCUAACUCCGUGCCAGCAGCCGCGGUAAUACGGAGGGAGCUAGCGUUGUUCGGAAUUACUGGGCGUAAAGCGCACGUAGGCGGCGAUUUAAGUCAGAGGUGAAAGCCCGGGGCUCAACCCCGGAACUGCCUUUGAGACUGGAUUGCUUGAAUCCUGGAGAGGUGAGUGGAAUUCCGAGUGUAGAGGUGAAAUUCGUAGAUAUUCGGAAGAACACCAGUGGCGAAGGCGGCUCACUGGACAGGUAUUGACGCUGAGGUGCGAAAGCGUGGGGAGCAAACAGG